rnacentral:rRNA from 1 species
AUUGAACGCUGGCGGCAUGCCUUACACAUGCAAGUCGAACGGUAACAGGUUAAGCUGACGAGUGGCGAACGGGUGAGUAAUGUAUCGGAACGUGCCCCGUCGUGGGGGAUAACUGCUCGAAAGAGCAGCUAAUACCGCAUACGACCUGAGGGUGAAAGCGGGGGAUGGCAAGACCUCGCGCGAUUGGAGCGGCCGAUAUCAGAUUAGGUAGUUGGUGAGGUAAAGGCUCACCAAGCCGACGAUCUGUAGCUGGUCUGAGAGGACGACCAGCCACACUGGGACUGAGACACGGCCCAGACUCCUACGGGAGGCAGCAGUGGGGAAUUUUGGACAAUGGGCGCAAGCCUGAUCCAGCCAUGCCGCGUGCGGGAAGAAGGCCUUCGGGUUGUAAACCGCUUUUGUCAGGGAAGAAAAGGUUCUGGCUAAUACCUGGGACUCAUGACGGUACCUGAAGAAUAAGCACCGGCUAACUACGUGCCAGCCGCCGCCGUAAGAC